CUGGGGGCGGGGGUUCGAGGCUGCUUAGGGUUUGGCUGAGAACUGCCUUGAAUCAGAUCUACCUUUCAGUGCCAGCGGCUGCUGUGGGGACUGUAGGACUUUUUCAUAACGACAACCACAGCUAUAAGGAUGAUGGCAGCGAUAACAGGACGACGUGGCCAGAUGACAGAAGGUGGCACAGAGAGCUGAAGUGAGGUGCCCGAGGACACACACCUGGAAAAUGGCAGAGCCUGAUUGCUGCUCAGGUCUGACUGGCUCCAGGGUCGCAGAUCAUUCGCCCCUCUAACCUAUUAAAUGGAAACAUAUACAAUAAAUGAUGCCACCUAACAUUCUCAGAUUUCUUCUUUCUA